CUUCGAUAAUGGCAAACCCAGCGAAAGUUGGUGACGCAAAGCUACGGACCUAAGGAGAAUUUCUUUUUACUUUACUUGAGGUGAACUA
rnacentral:ncRNA from 1 species